AUUUUUUCAACUAUUGCCAUUUCACAAACAGCUUUCUAGUCUAUGUUCCCAGCUCUGCCUUCUGGCCUGGACUCCCACACCCUCUCCUAACUGUCUGCUGGCCCCCUCCUGCUAGAGGUAUGCAAGCAUCUCAGUCUCGCCUCUCCCGUCCUCCCUCUCCACAAAUAUAAGCUAUUUCCUCUUCAUAUUUUCCUAGUUCUGUGAAUGGAUAAGUCUAUCUCUAGUUAUAAAACUGCUCCACCUUGUCACCCACCUUACCUCUGCUCUCCUGACUUCUUUCAUAUUUAUACAUUGCCAGUCCUCUUCAUUUUCUCCCAGUAACUGCUUCUUUCUCAUGGUCACUACCUCCACUCCACUCCAGAUUCAUCAUAAUUUUUCGGCUGGCUUUCUUUUCUCUGUCUCUUCUUCUCCAAAGUCACCUAUCUGUUGCUACCAGACUCAAUUUUGUAAAACAGAAGGGGUCAAAUCAACCUCUUUAAACAACUUCUAUAAAAAUGGAAAUAUCUUUCCCUGGCAUGCAUGACCUAUGAUCAGCUGAUCUCAGCAUGCCUUUCCAGUUCAUUUGGGAUGUGGUUUCCCCCAUCUCCUUUUACCCACUCCACUUAUUCCAGCUCUGCUAGAAACCGCCCCAUCUCCUGAUUAUAUCUUCCUGG
rnacentral:lncRNA from 1 species